rnacentral:rRNA from 1 species
CUUUCCAGAGAUGGAUUGGUGCCUUCGGGAACUCUGAGACAGGUGCUGCAUGGCUGUCGUCAGCUCGUGUUGUGAAAUGUUGGGUUAAGUCCCGCAACGAGCGCAACCCUUAUCCUUUGUUGCCAGCGGUUCGGCCGGGAACUCAAAGGAGACUGCCAGUGAUAAACUGGAGGAAGGUGGGGAUGACGUCAAGUCAUCAUGGCCCUUACGAGUAGGGCUACACACGUGCUACAAUGGCGUAUACAAAGAGAAGCGACCUCGCGAGAGCAAGCGGAUCUCAUAAAGUACGUCGUAGUCCGGAUUGGAGUCUGCAACUCGACUCCAUGAAGUCGGAAUCGCUAGUAAUCGUGGAUCAGAAUGCUACGGUGAAUACGUUCCCGGGCCUUGUACACACCGCCCGUCACACCAUGGGAGUGGGUUGCAAAAGAAGUAGGUAGCUUAACCUUCGGGAGGGCGCUUACCACUUUGUGAUUCAUGACUGGGGUGAAGUCGUAACAAGGUAAGCGUAGAUGA